CCUACGGGAGGCAGCAGUGGGGAAUACUGGACAAUGGGGGGAACCCUGAUCCAGCCUUGCCGCGUGUGUGAAGAAGGCCUUAUGGUUGUAAAGCACUUUAAGCGAGGAGGAGGCUCUUUUGGUUAAUACCCAAGAAGAGUGGACGUUACUCGCAGAACAAGCACCGGCUAACUCUGUGCCAGCAGCCGCGGUAAUACAGAGGGUGCGAGCGUUAAUCGGAUUUACUGGGCGUAAAGCGUGCGUAGGCGGCUUUUUAAGUCGGAUGUGAAAUCCCCGAGCUUAACUUGGGAAUUGCAUUCGAUACUGGGAAGCUAGAGUAUGGGAGAGGAUGGUAGAAUUCCAGGUGUAGCGGUGAAAUGCGUAGAGAUCUGGAGGAAUACCGAUGGCGAAGGCAGCCAUCUGGCCUAAUACUGCCGCUGAGGUACGAAAGCAUGGGGAGCAAACAGGAUUAGAUACCCCUGUAGUC
rnacentral:rRNA from 1 species